rnacentral:rRNA from 1 species
CGGCGGACGGGUGAGUAACACGUGGAUAACCUACCUAUAAGACUGGGAUAACUUCGGGAAACCGGAGCUAAUACCGGAUAAUAUUUUGAACCGCAUGGUUCAAAAGUGAAAGACGGUCUUGCUGUCACUUAUAGAUGGAUCCGCGCUGCAUUAGCUAGUUGGUAAGGUAACGGCUUACCAAGGCAACGAUGCAUAGCCAACCUGAGAGGGUGAUCGGCCACACUGGAACUGAGACACGGUCCAG